rnacentral:rRNA from 1 species
AGAGUUUGAUCCUGGCUCAGGACGAACGCUGGCGGCGUGCCUAACACAUGCAAGUCGAGCGGUUCAUUGUGUGACACUGUGUGCAUUAAGAAGUAUGUUAAAGCAUUGAGGAGUACAAUGUAGCAUACAAUUGUGUACAGAGUGUCAUACAAUGGAUAGCGGCGGACGGGUGAGUAACGCGUGAGUAAUCUGCCUAGACA